AGAGUUUGAUCCUGGCUCAGAACGAACGCUGGCGGCAGGCUUAACACAUGCAAGUCGAGCGCCCCGCAAGGGGAGCGGCAGACGGGUGAGUAACGCGUGGGAACAUACCCUCCGGUUCGGAAUAGCUCAGGGAAACUUGGAUUAAUACCGGAUACGGCCUAGCGGCGAAAGAUUCAUCGCCGGAGGAUUGGCCCGCGUUCGAUUAGCUAGUUGGUGAGGUAACGGCUCACCAAGGCGACGAUCGAUAGCUGGUCUGAGAGGAUGAUCAGCCACAUUGGGACUGAGACACGGCCCAAACUCCUACGGGAGGCAGCAGUGGGGAAUAUUGGACAAUGGGCGCAAGCCUGAUCCAGCCAUGCCGCGUGAGUGAUGACGGCCUUAGGGUUGUAAAGCUCUUUCGCUAGGGACGAUAAUGACGGUACCUAGACAAGAAGCCCCGGCUAACUUCGUGCCAGCAGCCGCGGUAAUACGAAGGGGGCUAGCGUUGUUCGGAAUUACUGGGCGUAAAGCGCGUGUAGGCGGGCUUUUAAGUCAGGGGUGAAAUGCCAAGGCUCAACCUUGGAACUGCCUUUGAUACUGGAAGUCUUGAGUCCGGGAGAGGUGAGUGGAACUGCGAGUGUAGAGGUGAAAUUCGUAGAUAUUCGCAAGAACACCAGUGGCGAAGGCGGCUCACUGGCCCGGAACUGACGCUGAGACGCGAAAGCGUGGGGAGCAAACAGGAUUAGAUACCCUGGUAGUCCACGCUGUAAACGAUGGAUGCUAGCCGUUGGGGAGCUUGCUCUUCAGUGGCGCAGCUAACGCUUUAAGCAUCCCGCCUGGGGAGUACGGUCGCAAGAUUAAAACUCAAAGGAAUGACGGAA
rnacentral:rRNA from 1 species